rnacentral:rRNA from 1 species
CCCAUAACAGGGGGAUAACAUUGAGAAAUUGGUACUAAUACCCCAUAACAUCAGGACCGGCAUCGGUUCUGGUUGAAAACUCCGGUGGUUAUGGAUGGGCAUGCGUUGUAUUAGCUGGUUGGUGAGGUAACGGCUCACCAAGGCAACGAUACAUAGGGGGACUGAGAGGUUAACCCCCCACAUUGGUACUGAGACACGGACCAAACUCCUACGGGAGGCAGCAGUGAGGAAUAUUGGUCAAUGGACGCAAGUCUGAACCAGCCAUGCCGCGUGCAGGAAGACGGCUCUAUGAGUUGUAAACUGCUUUUGUACGAGGGUAAACGCUCUUACGCGUAAGAGCCUGAAAGUAUCGUACGAAUAAGGAUCGGCUAACUCCGUGCCAGCAGCCGCGGUAAUACGGAGGAUCCAAGCGUUAUCCGGAUUUAUUGGGUUUAAAGGGUGCGUAGGCGGUUUGAUAAGUUAGAGGUGAAAUACCGGUGCUUAACACCGGAACUGCCUCUAAUACUGUUGAACUAGAGAGUAGUUGCGGUAGGCGGAAUGUAUGGUGUAGCGGUGAAAUGCUUAGAGAUCAUACAGAACACCGAUUGCGAAGGCAGCUUACCAAACUAUAUCUGACGUUGAGGCACGAAAGCGUGGGGAGCAAACAGGAUUAGAUACCCUGGUAGUCCACGCAGUAAACGAUGGUAACUCGCUGUCGGCG